ACGGGUGAGUAAUACAUCGGAACGUGUCCUGGAGUGGGGGAUAGCCCGGCGAAAGCCGGAUUAAUACCGCAUACGCUCUGAGGAGGAAAGCGGGGGAUCGCAAGACCUCGCGCUCAAGGGGCGGCCGAUGGCAGAUUAGGUAGUUGGUGGGGUAAAGGCCUACCAAGCCGACGAUCUGUAGCUGGUCUGAGAGGACGACCAGCCACACUGGGACUGAGACACGGCCCAGACUCCUACGGGAGGCAGCAGUGGGGAAUUUUGGACAAUGGGGGCAACCCUGAUCCAGCAAUGCCGCGUGUGUGAAGAAGGCCUUCGGGUUGUAAAGCACUUUUGUCCGGAAAGAAAACGUCGUGGUUAAUACCCGUGGCGGAUGACGGUACCGGAAGUAUAAGCACCGGCUAACUACGUGCCAGCAGCCGCGG
rnacentral:rRNA from 1 species